rnacentral:lncRNA from 1 species
CCGGCAGUUUGAGAGGCUGGGGCAGGCAGGUUGCUUGAGUCCAGGAGUUCGAGACCAGCCUGGGCAACAUGGCGAAACCCCGUCUCUACAAAAAAUACAAAAAUUAGCCCAGUGUGGUAGUGCACACCUAUAACCCCAGAUAAUAAUAAUAAUAAAAUAAUAUCACUAAAAUAUAUAUACAAUUGUCCUCCAGGGGAAUCUCAGCAGUUAAGUCUAUUAGUUUACUUUGUCCUCACAACAGCUUCAGGGAGUAAGAACUAUUAGUUUCUACAGAUGAGAAAAUUAGGAACUGACCAGAGUAGUUUAAGCAACUGGUCCACUGUAAUCCCAGCACUUUGGGAGGCUGAGGUGGGAAGAUCGCUUGAGCCCAGGAGUCUGAGACCAGCCUGGGCAACAUAGUGAGACUCUGUCUCUACAAAAAAAAUAAAAUGAAAAUUAGCCAAUCAUGGUGGUGCACGACUGAGCCAUGACUGUGGCACUGCGCUCCAGCCUGGGCAAAAGAGCAAGAUUCCAUUUCAACAACAACAAAAUAAAUCUGCUUCAUGGGCACAGAGCUAGCUGGUGGCAGGAGCAAGCCUGGGCUUCUGUCCUAGACUUUGUUUUUGCCUCAAGCAACCUUCCCUUCCUCCCUGACAUCAUCUACCCCAGAUCUUUUACCUCUGGAUAAAGACUUCUUUUUUUUUUUUGAGACGGAGUCUUGCUCUUUCGCCCAGGCUGGACUGCAGCAGCGCUAUCUCGGCUUACUGCAAGCUCCACCUCCCGGGUUCACGCCAAGCUCUCUCUGCCUUGCAGCCUGGCCAGCUCUGUGCAGUUCUGUCCCCCACACUAACCUGUGAGCUGCUGGGAAGCAGAAGUCUGUCCUGCUAUGGUUCACUCAGCCCCAGGUACCAGAAGGGCAAAACCGAGUUCCCUCUCACACCAGCCUCCUUUUUUUCUGUUCAAGCCAGCAUUGUUUCCCAUCUCCCCAUCUGCCCCCAAGUCUGAAACUUUGCCCUUGACUCAUUCCUCGCCUCCAUCCCCCACAUUACAUCAGGCAGAGACUCUGCCCAGCGCUGUCUUCAGUGGGAGCUUGGCUUCCUUGCUUCCUUCUCAUCUCCACUGGCUCAGCCCUCAUCCUUCACACCCAGAGAGUCUCAAAAACUUCUGGGCCUAUUUCUUCCUCUCUGGUCUCUCCUGACACCUCCCUCAUCAGCUGCAUGCCCACAUGUGGUGGAUCUUUCACAAGGGCUGCCCUGACCAUGUAAUGCCCCCUUCCUCCAAAACCGUCAAUGGCUCCCUGCUUCCUUCCCCAUCCAGUCAAAACUUUUCAGGCCAAUCUUGAAGCUGUACCUUCCAU